rnacentral:rRNA from 1 species
UACGUAGGGACCGAGCGUUGUCCGGAAUCAUUGGGCGUAAAGAGCGUGUAGGCGGCUAUUUAAGUCCUGCGUGAAGUCCUGCGGCUCAACCGCAGACGGUCGUGGGAAACUGGAUGGCUAGAGUGCGGGAGAGGAGAGUGGAAUUCCUGGUGUAGCGGUGAAAUGCGCAGAUAUCAGGAAGAACACCCGUGGCGAAAGCGGCUCUCUGGAACGGUACUGACGCUGAGACGCGAAAGCGUGGGGAGCGAACAGG